rnacentral:lncRNA from 1 species
AGCAGGAGUCAACUUUGGAUUUAGCAUUCUAGAAGAAAACACUGGAUUGUAACACCUUUAAUUUGUUGUUCUAGACUAGAAGUAUCUUAGAUAACUUCAAUACUUCAUACAACUAAAAGUAAUUUAAUGGUCAUACUUGCAAAGAAGUCUGAGCAAGAAUCCAUGAGCAAACAGAAGAGUCACUUGUGGGUAUUAUUAAAUUUAAUUUCCUCUUCCUAAGAACACCGUGUGGUGAUUCUUUUGAGCACGGCUGAUUCCUGUUCAUUACCAGAUGUUGUUACAUUCUUGACUAUAGAACAUCGUUGUUGGCAUUCAGAAGGAAGCAAACAGAAGAAGCAAACAUUGGCAUUCACACAAUGUUUAUCAACGAUCCAAGGCUAAGCGACCAACGGAAAACUUGAAGAACUGCGCUGCAGCCUGAAGUGUGGGUGCGCUAUUGGACAGAGGAGACUUUCAAUGCGGAUAAUGGAAUGUACCAGGCAAAGGAUAAAGAAACAUUGGAACACGGAAUGAUAGAAGACCAGAAGAGUGCCAAGAAGAAAGAAAUUUAAGCACAAGAAAUACUCCCCAUGAAGACAGAGUCACUCAGGGAGAAUAUGAUGUGACAACAGAGGCGGAGAUUAGAGUGUCAAAUCUGCAAACUAAGGAAGACCAAGAAUUGAUUCACAGCACCAGAGGCCAGAGAGAUACAGAGUCACAAUGUGGCACAACCCUCCAAAUCCUUCAGUUCCUGACUUUAGAACAGCGAUGGACUGAAUUUGUCUUCAAUCCAUCUGGUAGAUCAUGGUUAGCCUAAGGAACCAAUGCAGAGAGGUCACCACAAGACUAAAAUCAGUGCUGUUCAAGAGGCUGUCACUGCAGUUGGUUAUAUCCCAAUAUUUAGUAAAUGCCACAAACUACUGUGUAGCAUGAGUGAAAGAAGAAGGUGACGUAGGCACUGACAAAGUUGGUGUUGUCAGGGCAGUUUGCUACUUGGGAGGCCCUCAAGUAUUGGAGUGUGAAUUGCAUUGUGAGCAGGAGGAAAUGAGGGAGCAUGGGACAAGAGAGAAUAUAAAGACAUAUUGUAGGUUGCUUCCCAGGCUCCUAUUACUUGUUGAGUAGAUAUUUGGGAGUUUAAUUGGAAUCUAAAUAAGAUUCUAAAAUCUUUUAAGAGCAACCUCUGAAAAGAAUGGAGGUCUAGAAAAUACUUCUAAGUGCAAAUAAAGGUGUGUUUCAGACAUUAAAGUAAGGAAAAAAUUAUAAGGAAUUCUGGUUAAAACUUAGUGUAUUCCUGGGAGUUUCCCUAGUUCAUUUUUCUCGAUAACCCCAUAAUGGCUCCCUCUAUCAAGAUUUGUCUUUCCUUGAUCUUCCUCUCUGUCUUUCCCAUAACUCCAGAAGGAUGACCCCAACUAAGAAUCUAAGCAAUAGGGUAUCCCUUAAUUGCCCUUCCCCUGUAGUCAGAUUGAUGACUACCUUAAUUGUCAUCAUAGAACCUCAUCCAGUAACUGAUGGAAGCAGAUACAAAGAUCUAUAGCUAAUAACUGGGUUGAACUCCUGGAGCCCAGUCAUAGAGAGGAAGGAACGAUAAUAAAUAUAGGGGUCAAGAUCAUGAUGGGAAAAUCCACAGAAACUGAUGACCCAAGCUAGUGGGAGCACACUGACUCCAGACUGACAGCUAGGGAACCUGCAUAAGACCCUCUGAAUGUGAGUGUGAGUUGUGGGGCUUGGGCAGUGAAACCAGUACUUAUCCCUAGUGCAUGGACUGGCUUUUUGGAGCCCAUUCUCUAUGGAGGAAUACCUUGCUCAGCCUAGAUCCAGGGGAGGGGGAGUGGGGAGGACCUUGGAUCUGCUUCAAGUGAUAUGACCGACUUUGUUGAUUCCCUAUGGGAGGCCUUACCCUCUUCUGAGGAGUGGAAACGGGGUGGGGUGGGGAGAAGGUGGAGGAAGCAGGGUGAUAGGGGGAGAGGGAGCUGAGAUUGGUAUGUAAAAUAAUAUUGUUUUAAAAAUGGAAAAUAA